rnacentral:tRNA from 1 species
UGAGCUAUGGUGUAAUGGUAGCACAACAGACUCUGAAUCUGUUUGUCUUGGUUCGAAUCCAGGUAGCUCAA